rnacentral:rRNA from 1 species
UGGGGAAUUUUGCACAAUGGGGGAAACCCUGAUGCAGCGACGCCGCGUGAUUUAGAAGGCCUUCGGGUUGUAAAAAUCUUUUUUAUGGGAUGAAAAUGACAGUACCAUAAGAAUAAGGUCCGGCUAACUACGUGCCAGCAGCCGCGGUAAUACGUAGGGGGCUAGCGUUGUCCGGAAUCACUGGGCGUAAAGGGUUCGCAGGCGGCAAUGCAAGUCAGAUGUAAAAGGCAAAGGCUCAACCUUUGUAAGCAUCUGAAACUGUAUAGCUUGAGAAGUGUAGAGGCAAGUGGAAUUUUUAGUGUAGCGGUGAAAUGCGUAGAUAUUAAAAAGAAUACCGGUGGCGAAGGCGACUUGCUGGGCACAAUCUGACGCUGAGGAACGAAAGCGUGGGGAGCAAACAGG